rnacentral:rRNA from 1 species
AUGGGCGCAAGCCUGAUCCAGCAAUGCCGCGUGCAGGAAGAAGGCCUUCGGGUUGUAAACUGCUUUUGUACGGAACGAAAAGGUCUGGGUUAAUACCCUGGGCUCAUGACGGUACCGUAAGAAUAAGCACCGGCUAACUACGUGCCAGCAGCCGCGGUAAUACGUAGGGUGCAAGCGUUAAUCGGAAUUACUGGGCGUAAAGCGUGCGCAGGCGGUUGUGUAAGACAGGCGUGAAAUCCCCGGGCUCAACCUGGGAAUGGCGCUUGUGACUGCACAGCUGGAGUGCGGCAGAGGGGGAUGGAAUUCCGCGUGUAGCAGUGAAAUGCGUAGAUAUGCGGAGGAACACCGAUGGCGAAGGCAAUCCCCUGGGCCUGCACUGACGCUCAUGCACGAAAGCGUGGGGAGCAAACAGGAUUAGAUACCCUGGUAGUCCACGCCCUAAACGAUGUCAACUGGUUGUUGGGUCUUAGCUGACUCAGUAACGAAGCUAACGCGUGAAGUUGACCGCCUGGGGAGUA